UACAGAGGUCCCAAGCGUUGUUCGGAUUUACUGGGCGUAAAGGGUGCGUAGGUGGUUGGAUAAGUUUGAUGUGAAAUCUCCGGGCUUAACCCGGAAAAGGCAUUGAAUACUAUCUAGCUUGAGAGUUGGAGGGGGGACUGGAAUUCUCGGUGUAGCAGUGAAAUGCGUAGAUAUCGAGAGGAACACCAAUGGCGAAGGCGGUUCUCUGGGCCUUACCUGACGCUGAGGAGCGAAAGCAUGGGGAGCGAACAGG
rnacentral:rRNA from 1 species